UAAUACGUAGGGUCCAAGCGUUGUCCGGAGUUACUGGGCGUAAAGCGCGCGCAGGCGGUCGCGUUGGCCCGGCGUGAAAGCCCCCGGCUCAACCGGGGAGGGUCGUCGGGGACCGCGCGACUUGAGGUCGGCAGGGGCCGGUGGAAUGCCCGGUGUAGUGGUGAAAUGCGUAGAGAUCGGGCGGAACACCCGUGGCGAAGGCGGCCGGCUGGGCCGUACCUGACGCUGAGGCGCGAAGGCGUGGGGAGCGAACGGGAUUAGAUACCCCGGUAGUCCACGCAGUAAACGAUGCGGACUAGGCGUGGGGGGACUUGACCCCCUCCGUGCCGGAGCUAACGCGUGAAGUCCGCCGCCUGGGGAGUACGGCCGCAAGGCUA
rnacentral:rRNA from 1 species